AUUGAACGCUGGCGGCAGGCUUAACACAUGCAAGUCGAGCGGGGAAGGUUGCUUCGGUAACUGACCUAGCGGCGGACGGGUGAGUAAUGCUUAGGAAUCUGCCUAUUAGUGGGGGACAACAUCUCGAAAGGGAUGCUAAUACCGCAUACGUCCUACGGGAGAAAGCAGGGGACCUUCGGGCCUUGCGCUAAUAGAUGAGCCUAAGUCGGAUUAGCUAGUUGGUGGGGUAAAGGCCUACCAAGGCGACGAUCUGUAGCGGGGCUGAGAGGAUGAUCCGCCACACUGGGACUGAGACACGGCCCAGAAUCCUACGGGAGGCAGCAGUGGGGAAUAUUGGACAAUGGGGGGAACCCUGAUCCAGCCAUGCCGCGUGUGUGAAGAAGGCCUUUUGGUUGUAAAGCACUUUAAGCGAGGAGGAGGCUACUGGUAUUAAUACUACCGGAUAGUGGACGUUACUCGCAGAAUAAGCACCGGCUAACUCUGUGCCAGCCGCCGCGGUAAGAC
rnacentral:rRNA from 1 species